GGCGUAGUGGCGAAGUGGUCUAACGCGGCAGUUUGCAAAACUGAUAUUCGCCGGUUCAAAUCCGGCCUACGCCU
rnacentral:tRNA from 1 species